GAAUAAUGGCUUACGGUGGAUACCUAGGCACCCAAAGAUGAUGAAGGGCGUAUACACCGACGAUAUGCUACAGGUAGUUGGCAAAUAGCGUUAUCCUGUAGAUUCCCGAAUAGGACAACCUUAUAUUCCACUUUGUGGGAUAUAACUCCAAUUAUAAUUCAUAAAAUUGGAAGAAUUAACCUAGUGAACUGAAACAUCUAAGUAACUAGAGGAAAAGAAAGCAAAAGCGAUUUUCUUAGUAGCGGCGAGCGAAAAGGAAAAAGUCUAAACUUAAUAAUAAUUUUAUUAGGGGUUGAGGGA
rnacentral:rRNA from 1 species